rnacentral:rRNA from 1 species
UACGGAGGUUGCAAGCGUUGUCCGGAAUCACUGGGCGUAAAGGGCGCGUAGGCGGCUCGGUAAGUAGGGGGUGAAAUCCUGCGGCUUAACCACAGGGCUGCCUUCUAAACUGUCGAGCUUGAGCACGGUAGAGGCAGAUGGAAUUCCCGGUGUAGCGGUGGAAUGCGUAGAGAUCGGGAAGAACAUCAGUGGCGAAGGCGGUCUGCUGGGCCGUUGCUGACGCUGAGGCGCGACAGCGUGGGGAGCAAACAGG